UCUGUAGAUUGGCGACAGAAGAAUGUCAUAACACCCAUCAAAUCUCAAGGAGGAU
rnacentral:rRNA from 1 species